CCAAUAGCGUAUAUUAAAGUUGUUGCAGUUAAAAAGCUCGUAGUUGAAUUUCGGGAUCAAUUUAUCGGUCGUGCCUACGGUAUGAACAGGUACAAUUGGUUUCUCCCUUCUGUUGAAGCACGAUGUCAUUAACUUGGUGUCGUGGGGAAUCAGGACUGUUACUUUGAAAAAAUUAGAGUGUUUAAAGCAGGCCUUGGCUUGAAUACAUUAGCAUGGAAUAAUGAAAUAGGACGUUUGAUCCUAUUUCGUUGGUUUCUAGGAUCGACGUAAUGAUUAAUAGGGAUAGUUGGGGGCAUUAGUAUUAAAUUGUCAGAGGUGAAAUUCUUGGAUUUAUUGAAGACUAACUACAGCGAAAGCAUUUGCCAAGGAUGUUUUCAUUAAUCAAGAACGAAAGUUAGGGGAUCGAAGACGAUCAGAUACCGUCGUAGUCUUAACCAUAAACUAUGCCGACUAGGGAUCGGAUGAUGUUAAUUUUUUAAUGACUCAUUCGGCGCCUUACG
rnacentral:rRNA from 1 species